UAUAGAAAGAAAAUGAAAAUAAUUCAAUAACGUGAUAAAGUUUAAACAUGUAUUCCUCUUGUUAAGUUGGCUGUUGAGCUGUGGGUUUAUGCAAAUUAGCUGGAGUGAGUGAGUGACAAAGACACUUCCUGUGUGCGUGUGUGGGAGGCUUUCGGUUCAGUUCAAGAGAGAGCAGUGGCUGUUGAAGAGUAUUGGGAGAAAUAUAUAAUGGCCUGGAAGAGAGUGAACGGACGGCGCUGACAAAAUUACCAAGUACGAAAAUCAGGUGGGCAUUACAGAAUUAUAAUUGAUUACAAUCAGAGACUGAUUGGCGGCGAGUCUCUGUCUAAAAAUGGGUUGUAUCGAUUCAAUCCAGUCAAAAGUAUAGAGAAUUAUUUUCCUAAAAAGGAAAACGAAACGAAACAAAUGCAAAUGAUUGAGCUCAUUUUGCUGAUGUGGAGCAUCUGAUGACGUGCGCAGGAGGCUGCAGAUCAGCAAAAAUAUCAUGUGUGAAUGCAUGUGAGUGAAUGUGAGUGACUGGACUAAGGUGGGAAUGAAUAAAUGUGGACAGAUUUAUCAUGUGAGGAAAAGAAAGGGGAUGCUUUGUUUUGCUUUUGCCAUAAGCAGGACAAGUGGGAGACUUAAAUCUGGGGAGGCUGAUUUUGGGAUGCUGAUGUUUGCUUUGAGAAAAUUUCUUUUUACGGGGGUUAGAUUAUGGGAUUACAUUAUAUUGUUGGGAGAAUGCUAAAUGCUAAAAGGGAAACAUUGUUUGAUGAGAUUCAAGUUACCAUUAACUGAGGUAACUCAGGAUUGAUAACUGUUCUGUUCAAGUUUAUUUUUUGUUAUGACAUAGACGGGAUCAUAAAGGGAGAGUUGAGUAUGAAAUGUAAACUACAGGUUUUGUUUUCAGGAAAUUCCAAGGAUCCAGAGUUCAAUGGAGCAACGAGUUGGAGAAGAUUUGACAUGAUGAUUAAAUUGAUUUUGUUCUUUAAACACAGGUUUUCAGGGCUAAAGCAAAACACCGGAGAGGAGAAUUGCUGAGCGGUUCUGGGAAAUGAAAUGACUAACCUUUUUUUCCUUUUAAUUUGUUAAGCUUGGGUGGAGCAUGUUGAGUUUUUUUGCCACAUGGGAUGUGUCAAAAAGAGAGGGGUUUAAGAUUUAAUUUGUUUAAUUUGAAAGGGGUUUUACUAGGAUUUUAUAAUGAUUGGGGUUGUUUGAUAAUUUAGAUAUGGUAAAACUGAGGCAGAGAUUGUUAAUUCUAAAGAAAGGAGUAAAAUGAACUAAAUUCUGGUUAGAAGAUAAAUUGCUGGGGUUAAUAAGAAGUUGUACACCAAAUUUAAAGGGGAA
ensembl:lncRNA